UACGUAGGGUGCAAGCGUUAAUCGGAAUUACUGGGCGUAAAGCGUGCGCAGGCGGUUGUGUAAGACAGAUGUGAAAAUCCCCCGGGCUCAACCUGGGAACUGCAUUUGUGACUGCACGGCUGGAGUGCGGCAGAGGGGGAUGGAAUUCCGCGUGUAGCAGUGAAAUGCGUAGAUAUGCGGAGGAACACCGAUGGCGAAGGCAAUCCCCUGGGCCUGCACUGACCGCUCAUGCACGAAAGCGUAGGGGAGCGAAACAA
rnacentral:rRNA from 1 species